CCCACAGAAGUUCAGCUAUACCACACGGACUUCACAAACUCAGCUGAAAGCUCUAAAGACUUCAUCUACAAAUCACUCUGCCCAUUUUACCUCCAUGCACGGCUUUGAGCAUCAGAAGGAUUAGCACUGCUAUUCCGAUUCAGAGAUAAGGUUAAACGACAGGCUUUGCCUAUUCAGGUUGAGCAGCUACCGAUGGUGAUGAAGUGACGAGCGAGAUUCUUCUACCUUAUUAUGUAUUAAUGAACUCUAGGGUUACAUGUCUUCAUACAUGUAAUCAGAACCUUAUUCCGCUGCGUACUCAGAAGUUUUAUGUUAUUUUGGCUGAGUCAGAGAUAUCUGAACUUACUAGUUAUUUGAGUUUAUACGAUUAAA